rfam:Strongyloides ratti strain ED321 Heterogonic genome assembly, chromosome: 1
CCAACGGCCCUCUUUAGGGCCACCAAAUUAUAUUUUUUUUGCUUAU